GGAUUUAAGGGCAUCUUUCAACCCCUUUCUCCAUAUAUAAUCUCUCCAAAAGGAAUUUAAGGCCAUCCACAACCCCUUUUUCCCCUAUAAGGGGCAUUUAAGGGAUUCUGCAAUGCCUUUGUCCCUAUAAAAUCUUUCCAAGGGGGAUUUCAUGGGAUCCACAACCCUCCAAGGUCUUCCCCCAAGGGGGAUUUAAGAGCAUCCA